GUAGCAUAAAAAUUAAAGAAGAAGAACAAAGCCAACAUGCUGCUGAACUUCUACUCAGGAGAAACCGCACCAGUGCACCCAGCAGGAAAAUGGCUCUGGGAGUACAUAUUACACGGGAGAGAAGCAGGAAAUCCACUCGGGAGUCAAGCAGACUGAAGGUGAGAUGACCCAUGAACACGGCCUCUGAAGAGCCUGUGAAGGCACGAGCAACGCUUCAUUUCACAUAGAAAACACAGCGACUCGGAGACGGCCGUAUAAGAGUUAAGCUGAACCUCUGAAGAAAGCAGCAUUUUAAAUUCACAAAUUAGUUUCAAUAAAGUUUAAGUGGAAAGCUGGAGCAGCU